AUACGGAGGGAGCGAGCGUUAAUCGGAAUUACUGGGCGUAAAGCGCGCGUAGGCGGCUUUGUAAGUCGGAUGUGAAAGCCCUGGGCUCAACCUGGGAAUGGCAUUCGAUACUGCAGAGCUAGAGUAUGGUAGAGGGAAGUGGAAUUUCCGGUGUAGCGGUGAAAUGCGUGGAUAUCGGAAGGAACACCAGUGGCGAAGGCGACUUCCUGGGCCAAUACUGACGCUGAGGUGCGAAAGCGUGGGGAGCAAACAGGAUUAGAAACCCCGGUAGUCC
rnacentral:rRNA from 1 species